ACAUAACUAGAGAUCUAACUUUUUUGGGCUAAUCUCUUCUCUCGUCGAUCUCUCUGAAACUCGAUUAGAAAACCUCAAACUCGAUCCCAAAUUUGUUUGUCUUAUCAUUCACUCUCGAUCCCUCUCAGUCUCAGUUAAUCCCUCUCAGUCGUUAUCCCUCUGAGUCAGAUUCAUCGACGUUCUACAACAUCCUCUCAUAGUGAGGAGUCACAUACAUCAAUCCAAAUCGAACUGGUGAGCUCGAAACACAGAAGGGAAGAUUUCAAUUUCAGUAGUUCUACUUUCAAUUUGGGUUUUCGAUUGAUGUUUUUUUUAGUUGAUUUUUCUGAUGAUAUUGUGUAUUUCUGAUAAACUGCAUACCGCCGCCGAGCCCGAGCCUAGGGAAAGUGGGAUCGUUUGGUCGGUAGAGAAAGACGUGACCAUGUAUCACGUUUAGGUUUUGGUAAAGAGUCGAUUUAUUCAGUGUAACCGAUUUCUAAUUGAUAUGUCUUUGACUGUUUUUGCAGUUGAAUUUUGCACCUAUUAGAAGAACUAACAUGUAUAUGAUAAAUUUAAGUUGGAAGCAAUGGAUCCGGUGAGUCUGGUUUUUGUUUUAGAUUUAAGUUCUCCCCUGACUCUUCUUUUCUUGAGCUUUAGAUUUUGUCACUUGUUUUGCUAUUCUAUAAUUUGUCUUCAGUAUGGUGAGACUCCAUUGCACAUGGAAGCCGAGGACGGUUGGCCGGUUGUAAUGAAGCUGCAAAAUUACUCCUUCAGAGUGGUGAUUUUAUUGAAGCCAAAGCCAACUUGCACGGUUUGGAAGAAAAUAUUGCAGAUGAACUUCUGCAGUUUUGGAUCAGCCAUAGUGAAGGGAAAAAAUCCAAAUUCUCAAGUGUCGUUGACUAUAUAAUACUAUAAAUAUACACUUGUGGUUUUUUUUUGUAUAUAUUCUCAAAAUGUCGUUAUUUUCUUCGGUAUCUUUUUUUUUGUAAAUAACAUUUUACCAAUAUUUAUGUAAAAAAGAAUGAUUGGCACUUGUGAAAAAUACUACAUAUUUGUAA